CGGGGCCCCGCGCGCGGCAGGCACAUGAUCCGGAGUCACGCGUGGCACAGAGGCUUCGCCGGCUCUGAGGUCAGCGGCCUCCCGCCGUCGCGAGCCCAACUCACCUCUCUCGGGAGCUACCGCCGCCCGGACCCAGACGCCUCCUUCCCCACGCGGCCAUCUUGGAGACUCUCGGCUCGUCGGGGGCUGGCGCCGACGCGGCUCCGGGCGCGCGCAGGCCGAAGGGAAACGUAGUCCGGUGAGCCGCUGGUCCGCAGAGGGAGGCGGCGAGCGGACUACAACGCCCACAAUGCCGCAUGCCGGAAGGCUGCUGUAAACUGCCGCGCGCAAGAGGGCGAAAGGUGGGCUCCGCCUGAGGACUGUCAAAGACAUCGGAGAGACGCCACCUUGAUCUAUCCUGCUGCCUGCUGCUGGAGAGUCUCCCCUGGAAUCCUGACCCUAGAAUUGGAGACUGUGGUUAGAGACUGGAUCCAACCUUCAGCUAAGAUAUGUGACAGAUGGCCCAGCAGUUAAGAGCACUGGCUGCUCUUCCAGAGGAUCCCAAGUUCCAUUCCCAACUUCCACACAGCAGCUCACAAUCAUUUGUAACUACAGUUCCGGGAGACCCGGUACCCUCCAUCAGGUGUGCCCAGGCACUUUGGUUUUAGUUGAUUCCAGCCGUAUAGUCAAGUUGACAACUAAGAUUAGCCAUCACAUGGACUGUUACCUGAAGUAAAAGAUGAAUAAAUUCUUUCCUCCCCAGCCGGGCGGUGGUGGCGCACGCCUUUAAUCCCAGCACUCGGGAGGCAGA